GGUAACAUGUUGAAAAUACAUGUCUUACAUCCAAUUUAUUUAAGUUACCUCUUACUAAUAUAAAUGAUAAUAGUGAAGUUAAAUGUUUCAUCAUUUAAGCAUGUUAUACUAUAAAUAACAAGUAUGAAAAAAUAGCAACACUAUUUUUUUUUUGUAUAAGUAAUGGUAGCAGUAGCGAGAGAAGAAGAGAAGCCCUAAGCUCCAAGUCCCCGCCGUUCUUCUUCUUCACCAUUAGAGAACAAAAUACCUGAUUCUAUUGAAUCUUCAACCCUCAGAACCAAAAAAGGACCCCUUCUUCUUCACCUUAUGGCUAUGGGUACGGCUCCCGUGUUCUAAUACUCUGCCUAAUUUUCAUUAGUUUCGAUUGUUUUGCAAUCUAGGGUUUUGCCAAUGGAUCCCUUGAGGAAGAAAUCUAGGGUUUUCAUUACUUCUUAAUCAAGAGUGCCUACCUGAUUGCGAGAUGCUGAAUAUCUUCCCAACGGAUGAAUUGCUCUUUAAACUUGGCCGUAUAUGUGACAGAUCAGUUGAGGGUCCUUGGGCCGGACUUGAGAAUAUUGACAAAUCACAAUGGAUAGAGUUUAUAGACUCUAAGUUAACGGUUCAGGCUUACUUCGAAAAUUUUUCAAUUUUUGGUCCAUUGCAAUGCAUUAAAGAUCUUUCCAGAAUGAAGAGUUGACUAGAAUGAAGAGUUGACGAGAAAGUUGAAUGCACUGAACGAAGAGUUGAUUGAGUUGAAAAAACCGAGGAAGAACAAAAUUCGUCAGACGAGUACGAGACCGCCUGCUUCUACUGCAGCUCCACCGCCUGCUUCUACUACAGCUCCGCCUAUUCCUAGUGCAGCAGGUGUCGAUAUCACGUCUUCAUCUCAAUUGGAAUGCAUAGAUCUUGAAACCUUGUAUGGUGAAGACGGUUCUGACAGUCAUGACUGUUUGAUGGAAAUUAGCAUUAUGACUUCUUUUUUUAGCCUUUUGAAAUUGUAGCCUAGAUUUAUUUUAGAAUUUCAAGGCAAGCAAGCUUCAGAGUUUUCUCAUGAAUCAUAAAAAAUAACGAGCAACAUCAUCUAAGAACAUAACUGGAGAGAGUUCUCUAUUGUACGCGCUUAGUUGUUUGACAAUUAAUACUCUCUCUAGUCCA